AGAGUUUGAUCCUGGCUCAGAACGAACGCUGGCGGCGUGCUUAACACAUGCAAGUCGAACGAGAAAGUUUCCUUCGGGAAGCGAGUAGAGUGGCGCACGGGUGAGUAACGCGUAGAUAAUCUAUCCUUAUAUUUGGGAUAACAUCGGGAAACUGGUGCUAAUACCGGAUACCCUUCAUUUCUGCCGGGUUAUGGAGGAAAGGUGGCCUCUUCAUGAAAGCUACCGUAUAGGGAUGAGUCUGCGUACCAUUAGCUAGUAGGUGGGGUAAUGGCCCACCUAGGCAACGAUGGUUAGCGGGUCUGAGAGGAUGAUCCGCCACACUGGAACUGGAACACGGACCAGGCUCCUACGGGAGGCAGCAGUGAGGAAUAUUGCGCAAUGGGGGAAACCCUGACGCAGCGACGCCGCGUGAGUGAGGAAGGUUUUCGGAUCGUAAAGCUCUGUCAGAAGGGAAGAAGUGUUAUAUGGUUAAUACCCGUAUAAUUUGACGGUACCUUCAGAGGAAGCACCGGCUAACUCCGUGCCAGCAGCCGCGGUAAUACGGAGGGUGCAAGCGUUGUUCGGAAUUACUGGGCGUAAAGGGCGCGUAGGCGGCCUGCUAAGUCAGAUGUGAAAGUCCACGGCUCAACCGUGGAAGUGCAUUUGAAACUGUCA
rnacentral:rRNA from 1 species